rnacentral:rRNA from 1 species
AAAGGAAUAGACGGGGGCCCGCACAAGCAGUGGAUCAUGUGGUUUAAUUCGAAGCAACGCGAAAAACCUUACCUGGGUUUGACAUCAUAUUGACAUCCGUAGAGAUACGGCUUCUGUAGCAAUACAGCAGUAUGACCGGUGCUGCAUGGCUGUCGUCAGCUCGUGUGGUGACAUGUUGGGUUAAGUCCCGCAACGAGCGCAACCCUUGUCCUUAGUUGCCUUCAUUAAGUUGGGAACUCUAAGGAGACUGCCGUGGUAACACGGAGGAAGGUGGGGAUGACGUCAAGUCCUCAUGGCCCUUAUGCCCAGGGCGACACACGUGAUACAAUGGCCGGUACAGAGGGCAGCUAAAGCGCGAGCUCAAGCUAAUCCCAAAAAGCCGGUCUCAGUUCGGAUUGGAGUCUGCAACUCGACUCCAUGAAGCUGGAAUUGCUAGUAAUCGCGGAUCAGCACGCCGCGGUGAAUACGUUCCCGGGCCUUGUACACACCGCCCGU